UGGGGCCAGCCCAAGGCUCGGCAGAUGGGGGAUGUGGGGCCUGUCCUGCGUUGUUUGCUGCUGCUGUGCCCGUGGGAUCUGGCAGAGGGACCAUGGAAACUCCUUGCUGCCAGCACAGUGUGGAUGUGCCUCCCCCGUGUCAGAGCAGCAGCUGAUGCCAUUUCUCUGUGUGGAGCAGGGUCUGGCCAGACCUGAAGCCAUCCCAGAGGACUACACAUGGAAUGCAGAUCUGCCAGGGAAUUUCAGGUCUCAGGCUGACAGGUACUUCCAGGUGCUGACGAAGGCGGUGGGGAUGAGCGAGUAGGGCACGGUGGUGACGCUGCUCCACGUGUCGGACGAGGGGUCGUAGCAGUCCAGGGUUUUGCAGCGCUGCGCCC